AUUGAACGCUGGCGGCAGGCCUAACACAUGCAAGUCGAACGGUAACAGGGAUCAGCUUGCUGAUUCGCUGACGAGUGGCGGACGGGUGAGUAAUGUCUGGGAAACUGCCUGAUGGAGGGGGAUAACUACUGGAAACGGUAGCUAAUACCGCAUAACGUCGCAAGACCAAAGAGGGGGACCUUCGGGCCUCUUGCCAUCGGAUGUGCCCAGAUGGGAUUAGCUAGUAGGUGGGGUAACGGCUCACCUAGGCGACGAUCCCUAGCUGGUCUGAGAGGAUGACCAGCCACACUGGAACUGAGACACGGUCCAGACUCCUACGGGAGGCAGCAGUGGGGAAUAUUGCACAAUGGGCGCAAGCCUGAUGCAGCCAUGCCGCGUGUAUGAAGAGGGCCUUCGGGUUGUAAAGUACUUUCAGCGGGGAGGAAGGGAGUAAAGUUAAUACCUUUGCUCAUUGACGUUACCCGCAGAAGAAGCACCGGCUAACUCCGUG
rnacentral:rRNA from 1 species